rnacentral:rRNA from 1 species
CAUGCAGUCGAACGGCAGCACGGGCUUCGGCCUGGUGGCGAGUGGCGAACGGGUGAGUAAUACAUCGGAACGUACCCAGAAGUGGGGGAUAACGCAGCGAAAGUUGCGCUAAUACCGCAUACGUUCUACGGAAGAAAGUGGGGGAUCUUCGGACCUCAUGCUUUUGGAGCGGCCGAUGUCUGAUUAGCUAGUUGGUGGGGUAAAGGCUCACCAAGGCGACGAUCAGUAGCUGGUCUGAGAGGACGACCAGCCACACUGGAACUGAGACACGGUCCAGACUCCUACGGGAGGCAGCAGUGGGGAAUUUUGGACAAUGGGCGCAAGCCUGAUCCAGCAAUGCCGCGUGAGUGAAGAAGGCCUUCGGGUUGUAAAGCUCUUUUGUCAGGGAAGAAACGGCUCCGGCUAAUAUCUGGAGCUAAUGACGGUACCUGAAGAAUAAGCACCGGCUAACUACGUGCCAGCAGCCGCGGUAAUACGUAGGGUGCAAGCGUUAAUCGGAAUUACUGGGCGUAAAGCGUGCGCAGGCGGUUUUGUAAGUCUGUCGUGAAAGCCCCGGGCUCAACCUGGGAAUUGCGAUGGAGACUGCAAGGCUUGAAUCUGGCAGAGGGGGGUAGAAUUCCACGUGUAGCAGUGAAAUGCGUAGAGAUGUGGAGGAACACCGAUGGCGAAGGCAGCCCCCUGGGUCAAGAUUGACGCUCAU